GCGCUCUUAGUUCAGUUCGGUAGAACGUAGGUCUCCAAAACUUGAUGUCGUAGGUUCAAAUCCUACAGAGCAUG
rfam:Picea glauca, whole genome shotgun sequence.